UACGAAGGGGGCUAGCGUUGCUCGGAAUUACUGGGCGUAAAGGGAGCGUAGGCGGACAUUUAAGUCAGAGGUGAAAUCCCGGAGCUUAACUUCGGAACUGCCUUUGAUACUGGGUGUCUUGAGUGUGAGAGAGGUAUGUGGAACUCCGAGUGUAGAGGUGAAAUUCGUAGAUAUUCGGAAGAACACCAGUGGCGAAGGCGACAUACUGGAUCAUUACUGACGCUGAGGAGCGAAAGCAUGGGGAGCGAACAGG
rnacentral:rRNA from 1 species